GAACUUUGAAACUGUGGAUUUGCGGCAUUUUUCAUUCUAUGCAUUUGCCGGUAGACCUGGUGCAGAACAAUGGAGUAGAAAAAAUGAGAACAUUGAGGCACGCUCUUCUGAUGAAUCAUAGUUACUUCCACAGCAUAACUAUAAGCUUGAUGUUCAUGCUCUGAAUACUCGUCAUCCUGGAGAGUUUGAAUGUAGGGAAUUCAGAGGAUCAAUAUGGGGGCUUAUGCCUCACCACUGGGAAAGGAAAGAAGAUACAUUGUUGAAGCUGGCACACGUCGGGCCACACGGGAGGAAAACAUUGAAGAGAUCAACUGGAAGGACAAUUAGUCACCCUUCUCAUAAUUAAGCCUGAGGAGA